CACGCUGUGUCGCCGAGCAGAUGUUCACCCGGACACCUGCGGGCCCACAUUUGGCGAGAGCGGGAUUUGCGUCCACAAGUUUUGCUUGUUUUUUGCCGACGGCCUUUACGAACACACUGCCGGACAGAGGGCGGUUCUGAAGUUCCCCCUUGAUGCCAUCAGAUGCGCAAUCGAGGAGGCAGAGCAGAAGCACUGCUUUGUUUGUGGAGAGAAGGGGGCCUCCAUCUACUGCGCAGAGACAGGCUGUGAACGCAGCUUUCAUCUGCCCUGUGCCACGGAUGGGGAAUGUGUCACGCAGUUCUUUGGGCAGCACAG